UAUUGUAAUAUCCCACAUCGGCCAAACGGAGAGGGGUUAUGUGCUGUAUAUGUACAUGCCCACCUCCAAUCUAACACGAGGUCUUUUGGUGGCUCAGCGGCUUCGGAGGGGAUGGGUACUCCGAAGUUAAGCAUGUUGAUGCUAGAGCAAUCCCAGGAUGGGUGACCUACUGGGAAGUUGCUCCUGAGCUGCCGGAAACAAAACCGUGAGGGCCGGUGGGCCCAAAGCAGACAAUAUCGUGUUACGGCGGAAUGGGUCCCGGGGUGUGACAAAUGGUAUCAGAGCCACUCUGCCGUGUGGUGCGAGUGUGCCGACGAGGGCGUCGGACUCCCAAGGGGGGUGGAUUGUAAUAUCCCACAUCGGUCAAACGGAGAGGGGUUAUGUGCUGUAUAUGUACAUGCCCACCUCCAAUCUAACACGAGGCUUUUUGGUGGCUCAGCGGCUUCGGAGGGGAUGGGUACUCCGAAGUUAAGCAUGUUGAUGCUAGAGCAAUCCCAGGAUGGGUAACCUACAGGGAAGUUGCUCCUGAGCUGCCGGAAACAAAACCGUGAGGGCCGGUGGGCCCAAAGCGGACAAUAUCGUGUUACGGCGGAAUGGGUCCUAGGGUGUUACAAAUGGUAUCAGAGCCACUCUGCCGUGUGGUGCGAGUGUGCCGACGAGGGCGUCGGACUCCCAAGGGGGGUGGAUUGUAAUAUCCCACAUCGGUCAAACGGAGAGGGGUUAUGUGCUGUAUAUGUACAUGCCCACCUCCAAUCUAACACGAGGCCUUUUGGUGGCUCAGCGGCUUCGGAGGGGAUGGGUACUCCGAGGUUAAGCAUGUCGAUGCGAGAGCAAUCCCAGGAUGGGUGACCUAUUGGGAAGUUGCUCCUGAGCUGCCGGAAACAAAACCGUGAGGGCCGGGGGCCCAAAGCGGACAAUAUCGUGUUACGGCGGAGCGGGUCCCGGGGUGUGACA
rnacentral:lncRNA from 1 species